UCGCGGCUUAUCACCGGCAGUCCCCUUAGAGUGCCCAACUGAAUGAUGGCAACUAAGGGCGAGGGUUGCGCUCGUUGCGGGACUUAACCCAACAUCUCACGACACGAGCUGACGACAGCCAUGCAGCACCUGUACAAGUGUCCCGAAGGAGGGCCCCUGUUUCCAGGGGCUUUCACAUGUAUGUCAAGCCUAGGUAAGGUUCUUCGCGUUGCUUCGAAUUAAACCACAUGCUCCGCCGCUUGUGCGGGGACCCGUCAAUUCCUUUGAGUUUCAGCCUUGCGGCCGUACUCCCCAGGCGGGGCACUUCAUGCGUUAGCGCCGGCACUCAGAGGGUCGCUCCCCCAAGCACCUAGUGCCCAUCGUUUACGGCGUGGACUAC
rnacentral:misc_RNA from 1 species